rnacentral:tRNA from 1 species
AAUAAGGUGCCUGAAAAAAAGGGCUAUUUUGAUAGAAUAGAUUAUGUAGUGCUCCUACCUUUAUUA